rnacentral:rRNA from 1 species
GCUCAGAUUGAACGCUGGCGGCAGGCCUAACACAUGCAAGUCGAGCGGUAACACAGGAGAGCUUGCUCUCUGGGUGACGAGCGGCGGACGGGUGAGUAAUGUCUGGGAAACUGCCCGAUGGAGGGGGAUAACUACUGGAAACGGUAGCUAAUACCGCAUAACGUCUUCGGACCAAAGAGGGGGACCUUCGGGCCUCUUGCCAUCGGAUGUGCCCAGAUGGGAUUAGCUAGUAGGUGGGGUAAUGGCUCACCUAGGCGACGAUCCCUAGCUGGUCUGAGAGGAUGACCAGCCACACUGGAACUGAGACACGGUCCAGACUCCUACGGGAGGCAGCAGUGGGGAAUAUUGCACAAUGGGCGCAAGCCUGAUGCAGCCAUGCCGCGUGUAUGAAGAAGGCCUUCGGGUUGUAAAGUACUUUCAGCGAGGAGGAAGGCAUUAAGGUUAAUAACCUUAGUGAUUGACGUUACUCGCAGAAGAAGCACCGGCUAACUCCGUGCCAGCAGCCGCGGUAAUACGGAGGGUGCAAGCGUUAAUCGGAAUUACUGGGCGUAAAGCGCACGCAGGCGGUCUGUCAAGUCGGAUGUGAAAUCCCCGGGCUCAACCUGGGAACUGCAUUCGAAACUGGCAGGCUAGAGUCUUGUAGAGGGGGGUAGAAUUCCAGGUGUAGCGGUGAAAUGCGUAGAGAUCUGGAGGAAUACCGGUGGCGAAGGCGGCCCCCUGGACAAAGACUGACGCU